GAUGAAGAACGUAGCGAAAUGCGAUACGUAAUGUGAAUUGCAGAAUUCAGUGAAUCAUCGAGUCUUUGAACGCACACUGCGCCCCCUGGUAUUCCGGGGGGCAUGCCUGUCCGAGCGUCAUUGCUGCCCUCAAGCCCGGCUUGUGUGUUGGGUCUCGUCCCCCUUCCCGGGGGGACGGGCCCGAAAGGCAGCGGCGGCACCGCGUCCGGUCCUCGAGCGUAUGGGGCUUUGUCACCCGCUCUGUAGGCCCGGCCGGCGCUUGCCGAUCAACCAAAACUUUUUUCCAGGUUGACCUCGGAUCAGGUAGGGAUACCCGCUGAACUUAAGCAUAUCAAUAAGCGGAGGA
rnacentral:misc_RNA from 1 species